AUUGAACGCUGGCGGCAGGCCUAACACAUGCAAGUCGAGCGGAGCGGAGGACGGGUGAGUAAUGCCUAGGAAUCUGCCUGGUAGUGGGGGAUAACGUCCGGAAACGGGCGCUAAUACCGCAUACUAUCAGAUGAGCCUAGGUCGGAUUAGCUAGUUGGUGGGGUAAUGGACUAACAAGGCGACGAUCCUUAACUGGUCUGAGAGGAUGAUCAGUCAAACUGGCACUGAGACACGGUCCAGACGCCUAUGAGAGGCAGGAUUGGGGAAUAUUGGACAAAGGGCGAAAGCCGGAUCCAGCCAUGCCGCGUGUGUGAAGAAGGUCGUCGGAGUGUAAGGCACUUUAAGUUGGGAGGCGUUACCAACAGAAUAAGCACCGGCUAACUUCGUGCCAGCAGCCGCGGUAAUUC
rnacentral:rRNA from 1 species